CAAUAAAUCUUUAAAACAGUAUACCAAAUGGUAAAACAGUGACACCUAGUGGAAAAAAUAAGCGACAACAUGCGGCUAUAAAACGAAACAGAAAAUAAGAAAAACAUACCUGCAGAAGACAAAAGAACAUUCAAUUUGCCUCGUAACCAGUUUAAAAACUUCCCAGAGGAGCUUUAAUGAGGGCCUAUUUAUUUCCAAGCAGCUGUGGGAGUUGGGGUAGCAUUUGGAUAUUUAUGUAGGCUAAUAUGACAAAAUAUCAAAAACCAUGUGGUUGAUAAAUUAAAAUAAGACCAUUCAGUGGAGAGUUAAAUUUCAGGUGUAACCGGAAGUGUGUAAGUGGUGUGUCUACCUUGACACUACAUGGAUUCGCAGGAUUUUCAGCCAACUGUCUACUGCCGAGUAUUGGAGGGGGGUCGGCUGAAUCGGUUGACUUUUUAAAUCCCGGGGAGUCUCCGUACAGUGAAGAGACUAAAUACAAUACUGGAUGUCUACGUCUCCUCAUCACUUAUUACCUCUCAAACAACAACCAUGUCUAUCAGUCCAACUCCAACACUGUACCAGCUGGUUUUGCUUUCGACCGCAAACAGGAGACUUACAAGGGAGGGUGAUUUUUCUACAACAGUGUUCCGUGUCAGGGAGAGGGCCCUUCUUUACGUUGCGCCCGAGUAUCGGGACAACAUUGAACUAACUCGUGCGUUAGUUAUUGCCGUAGAAGCCCUUUUAUACCUGCCGGUAACAGAAGCGGAGGCGAGUGGCGCACUAUUGAGUGCACUACUGACAAUAGGAGUCUCCAAAGCAGAUGAUUUCCUUAGAGCAGUAAGCAACCGGAUGGGAUGCCCGUCCACUCCUUAUCCCAUGGUGAUUCAAAACGGUGUGCUAGCCGUUGCGGACAACUACAACCCACUUGCCCGCCCUAUAAGGCAGGCCACAACCCAGGCUGUUGCCGCAUUUCACCAAAGACGCCUGGAAAGCAUCCGUGACCCCAACACCUUUGAUCAUCAAAGAGCCAACCCGCACAUCAUUCUCACGUCCCUGUGCGCUUAUGUCUAUGCGCUGGCCGCGAAGGCCGUCUCAUGUUACAACUCAGCCGUUGACAACGUGCUAACUCGAAUUCGCGAAGAGAACUUCAGCGGAUAUUGAUCCUUGUUACCGAUUGAGCAGGAGAAUGAUGACCAUUCUUGCACAGUUGAUCCGAGGACAAAUGACGGUCCGAUGGGUAAUUGUUGAUUUAUCCCUGAGGAUAAAACUCGAACCCACCGAGCCAUGGAUGAAGGUGGUUGUAUACCUGUCUGAGUACAUGCAGGAUGCCGGGAUUGCCAUGUUUCUUCUAAUAAGAGACGUCCUGAUCGUGACUCGACUGCGUGAGCUCACUUGCCCACUUUUCAACAGUGACCUUUUUAAGUUCAAGGAGGCCUGCUCUGCGCAUGUCUCGCUGGAGGAGUAUGGCCCCUAUGUGAGGUUUCUUGAGCUCCCACAAGCAACCCUGUUUCAGGCAGGCAAGUUCCCAAACUUGGUGCAGUUCAUGAGAGGAUUUACCUCAGAGUUUAACCCGCGUGCAGGUGAUCUGUUGACAGGAGGCGGGAGGGAGGUCCUGGUCCGCCAAAUCUACGACAUGGGGGUAAGGGCAGGGCGCCGGGCAGCCGAACAAGCGGCCAGGGAAUCCGGAGAAGCCAUUGCAUGACAGGCCAAUGAACGGGCACAUGGCGGGAUGGACGCCUUCCUGUACAGGGCUGCAGCCAGGAGAGUCUGAACCUGGGACUUCUUUUUUCCUUUUUGUGUAUCCCUUUUUUCAUUUUUUUUUUUUUCAUUAUGAAAGUUAUGUGGCCUUUCUGUACAUAGUUGUUCAAAGGCAGUGUUUUUUUUGUCCUUAUAUUUAAAGUGGCAUUGUUAUUUUAAAAUCUGAUUUCUUUUAGUACUUAAGGACACAUUUUCCUUUUAUGAUAUAGUUAUUUAGAAAAACUUUAGCACUCAAUGAGUGAAGUUCUCGGAGCAGUGCACCAAAACACCAGUCUUUCUUUUCUUGUUCUCAAAAAUAAAGUGCAUUUGAACUCUG